rnacentral:rRNA from 1 species
AACCUGCCUUUAUCUGGGGGAUAGCCUUUCGAAAGGAAGAUUAAUCCCCCAUAAUAUAUUGACUGGCAUCAGUUAAUAUUGAAAACUCCGGUGGAUAGAGAUGGGCACGCGCAAGAUUAGAUAGUUGGUGAGGUAACGGCUCACCAAGUCUACGAUCUUUAGGGGGCCUGAGAGGGUGAUCCCCCACACUGGUACUGAGACACGGACCAGACUCCUACGGGAGGCAGCAGUGAGGAAUAUUGGACAAUGGGUGAGAGCCUGAUCCAGCCAUCCCGCGUGAAGGACGACGGCCCUAUGGGUUGUAAACUUCUUUUGUAUAGGGAUAAACCUACUCUCGUGAGAGUAGCUGAAGGUACUAUACGAAAUAAGCACCGGCUAACUCCGUGCCAGCAGCCGCGGUAAUACGGAGGGUGCAAGCGUUAUCCGGAUUUAUUGGGUUUAAAGGGUCCGUAGGCGGAUCUGUAAGUCAGUGGUGAAAUCUCACAGCUUAACUGUGAAACUGCCAUUGAUACUGCAGGUCUUGAGUGUUGUUGAAGUAGCUGGAAUAAGUAGUGUAGCGGUGAAAUGCAUAGAUAUUACUUAGAACACCAAUUGCGAAGGCAGGUUAUUAAGCAACAACUGACGCUGAUGGACGAAAGCGUGGGGAGCGAACAGGAUUAGAUACCCUGGUAGUCCACGCCGUAAACGAUGCUAACUCGUUUUUGGGGCUUCGGCUUCAGAGACUAAGCGAAAGUGAUAAGUUAGCCACCUGGGGAGUACGUUCGCAAGAAUGAAACUCAAAGGAAUUGACGGGGGCCCGCACAAGCGGUGGAUUAUGUGGUUUAAUUCGAUGAUACGCGAGGAACCUUACCAAGGCUUAAAUGGGAAAUGACAGGUUUAGAAAUAGACUUUUCUUCGGACAUUUUUCAAGGUGCUGCAUGGUUGUCGUCAGCUCGUGCCGUGAGGUGUUAGGUUAAGUCCUGCAACGAGCGCAACCCCUGUCACUAGUUGCCAUCAUUAAGUUGGGGACUCUAGUGAGACUGCCUACGCAAGUAGAGAGGAAGGUGGGGAUGACGUCAAAUCAUCACGGCCCUUACGCCUUGGGCCACACACGUAAUACAAUGGCCAGUACAGAGGGCAGCUACACAGCGAUGUGAUGCAAAUCUCGAAAGCUGGUCUCAGUUCGGAUUGGAGUCUGCAACUCGACUCUAUGAAGCUGGAAUCGCUAGUAAUCGCGCAUCAGCCAUGGCGCGGUGAAUACGUUCCCGGGCCUUGUACACACCGCCCGUCAAGCCAUGGAAGUCUGGGGUACCUGAAGUCGGUGACCGUAAUAGGAGCUGCCUAGGGUAAAACAGG